UGGGGAAUUUUGGACAAUGGGGGCAACCCUGAUCCAGCCAUCCCGCGUGUGCGAUGAAGGCCUUCGGGUUGUAAAGCACUUUUGGCAGGGAAGAAACAGCCUGGGCUAAUAUCCCGGGCGACUGACGGUACCUGCAGAAUAAGCACCGGCUAACUACGUGCCAGCAGCCGCGGUAAUACGUAGGGUGCAAGCGUUAAUCGGAAUUACUGGGCGUAAAGCGUGCGCAGGCGGUUCGGAAAGAAAGGUGUGAAAUCCCAGGGCUUAACCUUGGAACUGCACUUUUAACUACCGGGCUAGAGUACGUCAGAGGGGGGUAGAAUUCCACGUGUAGCAGUGAAAUGCGUAGAGAUGUGGAGGAAUACCGAUGGCGAAGGCAGCCCCCUGGGAUGAUACUGACGCUCAUGCACGAAAGCGUGGGUAGCAAACA
rnacentral:rRNA from 1 species